AAGAGAAAAGAAGGGGGCGGAUCCAAUCACAUGUUGUCAUGACCCAACCCAAACACAACAUGGCAAGGGAACAAAAAGAUUCAUUUAAAAAAAAAAAUGCAAAAAAUGGACGCAGGAAAUAAAAAGACAUGUGGAGAUCAGACAUACUAUUUCCGCUGGCCUGUGCAGAACUUCAAAGCAUGUGCAAAUAACGCACGGGAAACUUCCGGUCAGUAGUCAGAUGUUAUGUAAGAAGGAGCAGAAAAAAAAUGGAACCUAGGCUUCCUCUGCUACGCAUGCUGCCUGCUCUUGACAGCUAGUUAAUCCUUUUCACUAGUCGAGUGACUCGAGAAGGGAUUGCUGUGGAGAGCAGCGCCUUCUUGUGUCUAAUAAUACUCGCAACACUCAAGUGGCAAUCAGGAAGAGGCGCUCGCUCCUGUCCAUCAUCUCACACUUGGGUGCUAUUUUCUCCACACGGAGAAAGGCUUCUUCUGGUGUCUUGAAUUAUUCCACACCUGUUAAAGAGUGAUAACCAAAUCAGCUUUCUGGACAAACAGCUGCUUGCAGAUGCAAACAGACAAGAGGAACAAAAAGAGCACGCUCCAUAAAGCACUUCAACAGCUGAACAGCUCCAGCUCAGCAUCCUCAUUAUCAGUAGAUCUCACUUCCUCUCCCGCCUGAAAAACAUCAACAGAUCCAAAGACGUUGUCAGGUUAAGCAAGAAUCGACAUCCUGUUGUAUGUGUUGGAGAACAUUUGAAUUCAUUCCCAUUUACAGUAUUUGUGCCACAUUAAAUGAAGAAAAGUGAAGCGAUAUACCAUUUAGAAAAUAAGCACCGUUUUUAUGACUUUUAUUUUAUACAUCUCCACUGUACUGGUAGAUCAGUUGAUCACUUUUCCUCCUUUGUCUUGCUUGACUUCCGACCGUGACUUGGUGAGGGUACACUGGACGAGGAACUGUCCGUAGUGCUGAUCCAUUCUUUCUCUUCUGAUAACACUACAUGAUGUCAUU